rnacentral:rRNA from 1 species
ACUGCUCAGUAACACGUGGACAACCUGCCCUUAGGUUGGGUAUAAACCCGGGAAACUGGGUAUAAUACCCGAUAGGUCUCGAUUGCUGGAAUGCAUCGAGAUUUAAAGCUCCGGCGCCUAAGGAUGGGUCUGCGGCCUAGCAGGUAGUAGUGGGUGUAGCGUACCUACUAGCCUACGACGGGUACGGGUUGUGAGAGCAAGAGCCCGGAGAUGGAUUCUGAGACACGAAUCCAGGCCCUACGGGGUGCAGCAGGCGCGAAAACUUUACAAUGCUGGCAACAGCGAUAAGGGAACCUCGAGUGCCAGGUUACAAAUCUGGCUGUCGAGAUGCCUAAAAAGCAUUUCAUAGCAAGGGCCGGGCAAGACCGGUGCCAGCCGCCGCGGUAACACCGGCGGCUCGAGUGGUAACCGUUAUUAUUGGGUCUAAAGGGUCUGUAGCCGGCCGGAUAAGUCUCUUGAGAAAUCUGGCAGCUUAACUGUCAGGCUUUCAGGAGAUACUGUCUGGCUCGAGGCCGGGAGAGGUGAGAGGUACUUCAGGGGUAGGGGUGAAAUCUUGUAAUCCUUGAAGGACCACCAGUGGCGAAGGCGUCUCACCAGAACGGACCUGACGGCAAGGGACGAAAGCUAGGGGCACGAACCGGAUUAGAUACCCGGGUAGUCCUAGCCGUAAACGAUACUCGCUAGGUGUCGGCCACGGUGCGACCGUUGUCGGUGCCGUAGGGAAGCCGUGAAGCGAGCCACCUGGGAAGUACGGCCGCAAGGCUGAAACUUAAAGGAAUUGGCGGGGGAGCAC